AGAGUUUGAUCAUGGCUCAGGAUGAACGUUGGCGGCGUGCCUAACACAUGCAAGUCGAACGGUAAUAGCAAUAUUGGAGUGGCGCACGGGUGAGUAACACGUAGCUAAUCUACCUCAAAGCGCGGGAUAACGUGUCGAAAGACAGGCUAAUACCGCAUAAGCUCACGAUCUGCAGAGGGUAGUGAGAAAAGGCUUCGGUCACUUUGAGAUGAGGCUGCGGCCCAUCAGCUAGUUGGUGAGGUAAAAGCUUACCAAGGCAACGACGGGUAGGGGACCUGAGAGGGUGACCCCCCACACUGGGACUGAGACACGGCCCAGACUCCUACGGGAGGCAGCAGUGAGGAAUAUUGCACAAUGGGCGCAAGCCUGAUGCAGCGACGCCGCGUGGGUGAAGAAGGUUUUCGGAUCGUAAAACCCUUUUCUGUGUGACGAGCAAGGACGGUAGCACAGGAAUAAGUCUCGGCUAACUACGUGCCAGCAGCCGCGGUAAAACGUAGGAGACAAACGUUAUCCGGAGUUACUGGGCGUAAAGGGCGUGUAGGUGGUUGAGUAAGUCUGGCGUGAAAUAUCUCGGCUUAACCGAGGCAGGUCGUCGGAUACUGCUUGACUAGAGGACGGUAGAGGCGUGUGGAAUUCCGGGUGUAGUGGUGAAAUGCGUAGAGAUCCGGAGGAACACCAGUGGCGAAGGCGACACGCUGGGCCGUACCUGACACUGAUGCGCGACAGCAUGGGGAGCAAACAGGAUUAGAUACCCUAGUAGUCC
rnacentral:rRNA from 1 species